GAGUGACACUCCGAACAAGGAGAAGUCAAUGUUCAGUCGGGAAAAGACUUCACAUUAAGAAAGUUCCACUGAGUGAGUGAAUGAGCUUAUACAACGGGGACUAUAUCACAAGUUCCCUCCAGCAGAGGCAGUCCUCAGCUGUGGACUUAUCGGUCGGUGAUCAUAUUCUAAUCAUUAUUACUAUAAACGUAUGGUGUAAUGAUAUACUCCACAAUGGCGUCUGUUUGAUUAGAAAUUAGAGAAGAAUUGGCCUCCAUCGAACUGUUGGACAAGAAAGACGUAUCCCAUCGACCACAGAAUUAAACAGCUAAACGAGAACAAAGAAAAGACCAGCCACCAUGACGAAUAGAACCAUACAAUCCCUUAUACUGCUGUCACUUGUUUACACCA